CAAUAGCGUAUAUUAAAGUUGUUGCAGUUAGAACGCUCGUAGUCGGAUUUCGGGGCGGGCCGACCGGUCUGCCGAUGGGUACGCACUGGUCGGCGCGUCCUUCCUUCCGGAGACCGUGCCUACUCUUAACUGAGCGGGGGCGGGAGACGGAUCGUUUACUUUGAAAAAAUCAGAGUGUUUCAAGCAGGCAGCUCGCUCUUGCAUGGAUUAGCAUGGGAUAAUGAAAUAGGACUUUGGUGCUAUUUUGUUGGUUUCGAACACCGAAGUAAUGAUUAACAGGGACAGUCAGGGGCACUCGUAUUCCGCCGAGAGAGGUGAAAUUCUCAGACCAGCGGAAGACGAACUACUGCGAAAGCAUUUGCCAGGGAUGUUUUCACUGG
rnacentral:rRNA from 1 species